CACGUAGGCACCAAGCGUUGUCCGGAUUUAUUGGGCGUAAAGAGCUCGUAGGCGGCUUGUCGCGUCGACUGUGAAAUCCCGCGGCUCAACUGCGGGUCUGCAGUCGAUACGGGCAGGCUAGAGUUCGGUAGGGGAGACUGGAAUUCCUGGUGUAGCGGUGAAAUGCGCAGAUAUCAGGAGGAACACCGAUGGCGAAGGCAGGUCUCUGGGCCGAUACUGACGCUGAGGAGCGAAAGCGUGGGGAGCGAACAGG
rnacentral:rRNA from 1 species